rnacentral:tRNA from 1 species
GCCAUCGUGGUGUAGUGGUCAGCACGCUUGACGUGUAACCGAGAGGUCCGUGGUUCUAUUCCUGGCGGAGGCG